rnacentral:rRNA from 1 species
GACGAACGCUGGCGGCGCGCCUAACACAUGCAAGUCGAACGGAGCUGAGAGAAGCUUGCUUUUCUUAGCUUAGUGGCGAACGGGUGAGUAACGCGUGAGUAGCCUGCCCUGGAGUGGGGGACAACAGUUGGAAACGACUGCUAAUACCGCAUAAGCCCACGAUCCGGCAUCGGAUUGAGGGAAAAGGAUUUAUUCGCUUCAGGAUGGACUCGCGUCCAAUUAGCUAGUUGGUGAGGUAACGGCCCACCAAGGCGACGAUUGGUAGCCGGACUGAGAGGUUGAACGGCCACAUUGGGACUGAGACACGGCCCAGAAUCCUACGGGAGGCAGCAGUGGGGGAUAUUGCACAAUGGGGGAAACCCUGAUGCAGCGACGCCGCGUGGAGGAAGAAGGUUUUCGGAUUGUAAACUCCUGUCGUUAGGGACGAUAAUGACGGUACCUAACAAGAAAGCACCGGCUAACUACGUG